UACGUAUGGUGCAAGCGUUAUCCGGAUUUACUGGGCGUAAAGGGAGCGCAGGCGGCGCGCCAAGUCUGAUGUGAAACCCCGGGGCUCAACCCCGGGCAUGCAUUGGAAACUGGCGGGCUGGAGUGCCGGAGAGGUAAGCGGAAUUCCUAGUGUAGCGGUGAAAUGCGUAGAUAUUAGGAGGAACACCAGUGGCGAAGGCGGCUUACUGGACGGCAACUGACGCUGAGGCUCGAAAGUGUGGGUAUCAAACAGG
rnacentral:rRNA from 1 species